rnacentral:SRP_RNA from 1 species
UCGCGCAGCCGGGGAGUCAGCGGUGCCCUGUACCUGCAAUCCGCUACAGCAGGGGUGAUGUUCGGCCGAGGGUGGGGCGUGUUGCGCAGCCCCAUAUAAGUGAUGUUGACGUUUGGGUCUCACACAACAGGAACCCGUGAACCGUGUCAGGGUAGGAAUACAGCAGCACUAAGCGGUGCAUUCUGUGUGUUGUGAGGCAGCCUGGACCGAGUUAACUGUAUGGGUAACGGCGAUAUUUUUCAUUCGAAGCAGAACGCGCGG